rnacentral:rRNA from 1 species
AGUGAACGCUGGCGGUAGGCCUAACACAUGCAAGUCGAACGAGUGGCGGACGGGUGAGGAAUACAUCGGAAUCUACUCUGUCGUGGGGGAUAACGUAGGGAAACCUACGCUAAUACCGCAUACGAUUGAAUGAGCCGAUGUCGGAUUAGCUAGUUGGGGGGGUAAAGGCCCACAAAGGCGACGAUCCGUAGCUGGUCUGAGAGGAUGAUAAGCAACAAUGGAACUGGGACACGGUCCAUACUCCGACGGGAGGCAGCAGUGGGGAGUAUUGUACAAUGGGCGCAAGCCUGAUCCAGCCAUACCGCGUGGGUGAAGAGGGCCUUCGGGUUGUAAAGCCCUUUUGUGGGGAAAGCGGUACCCAAAGAAUAAGCACCGGCUAACUUCGUGCCAGCAGCCGCGGUAAUUC